rnacentral:lncRNA from 1 species
UUAAAUAGUUCUGUUGAAGAACUCUAAAGGUUUUAAACCUCAUGUCAUCGUUGUAAGGCUUUGGUGGGUUUAUGAUGUUUUAUAGAUGCGUCAUCUAUAGGAUUGCCUUAAGGGUGACAGAGGUCCACCUGUACUGCAGCUGUAAUCCAUCCAGCAGUGCACAGAUACCAAGUACCAAAGCAUGGAGUGAGAUGGAGCCUCCUCUGAAGGCAGCAGCCUCUCCAGACACCCUGCCAAGCUGAGCCUGGACUUUGGAGGUUCAUCUCCAUCAUCAAGAAGACCAAUGGGAGCAAACCUGGAGAUGAGUGCUGCAAUCCAUCCAUGUGGAUGGAUGGAUUUCAGUGUUGAGUCCUUUGUGCCAGAGCUUCCCACUGCAUUUCAGACCUGGUUACAGGAAACUUGUCUGAUGGAGGAAAACAAAGUUCUGUUUCCCUUCCCAUUCCUCCUGACUCUAAGCAGCAUCACACCAUGUUCUUCCUGCCUGGCUGACACAAGAGCAAUGCCAGUACGGGCCAGUGCUAAAAGACCAGAUCUCUUAAGGGAUGCAAAGAACUUGGAAACUGUGCUGAUGGACAUCGUAGACACAGAAAGUGGUGCCCUCUGCACUGACCACGGAGCGGAGUUCAGUGAGAUGGGUUAUGUCAGGAGAAUCUUCAGUCUUACAGGAAAAAUGGUUCUUUGACUUCCUUCACAAUAUAACAUCAUGUCAAAAAUAGACUUGAGAUCCUGUUAUUUAUAUUACUGAAGUACUGAAUGGCCUUGCCUGAGAACAGGCUGUUCCAGCAUUAACUGGAGUGCUGUGUUUCAAUGGGAGAUGGUCUGUGCCAUGAAGAACUGACACGUGAGGUAAACAAGAAGGACAAGGAGUCUUCUGACAGCUGGAGCAGCCCACGACCACCAGCUGGAAGUGGUGAAGUACAAGUGGCAAAUCUAAGCCAUUUUCCAAGGUAUCCUACAGUGGUCUGUUUAUUCAUCUUUCCUCUCUGGUAGCUGGGAUGGGCUUGGGAUGUGUUCCUGGGGGACAAGAGGUAGAAAAUUCCUGCUUUAAUAUAGUGUUUGUACUGAUAAAUACGCUUAUUAAGGAAGCAGAUCCAAAAAUGCAUCCAUGUUGUAACACGGCAGAAGAUGAGCUGACCGGGAAUGGGGAUAACUAAAUUUAUUCAUGCAGUGGGUGGAUAUUCCUGUCUAAUAAACCACAACGACAGAUCGGUCAUAAAAAGCUGGGCUAUGAAAUUUCUGGUUAGCAAACACAAACUGGAACACCUCCUGGACGUUUGGAAUGAGGCACCUGUGCUAAGUGUGGGCUCAGGCUGGCCCACCUUUCAGAGCCACUGCUGUAGUUAUCUUUUAGCAGGAAUGGUGAGGCUCAUCCUCUAGGACUAAAGCUCAGAGUGGAAACUCAACACUAUCCUUUGUUUAUUUGGAAACAAAAAA